rnacentral:lncRNA from 1 species
ACCACCACUGGUGGUGCGGUUUGGUGUCAAACAAAGAGCAUCAAAGAGGAUUAGGAGACCGGUUAUAACACACACACACAUAUAUAUAUAUAUCCUCCUCUGCAAAUUAAACAACACUCAUCGAUCUAUUGAUAUGGGAUAGGUAUAUGGAGGUGGUGGUGGUGCGAUUUCCGGCCACCACAGACGGCGGAGGAGGAGAAUUGGAGAGAACAUUUUUGUUUUUG